AACGAACGCUGGCGGCAGGCCUAACACAUGCAAGUCGAGCGCCCCGCAAGGGGAGCGGCGGACGGGUGAGUAACGCGUGGGAACGUACCCUUUGCUACGGAAUAGCCUCGGGAAACUGGGAGUAAUACCGUAUGUGCCCUUCGGGGGAAAGAUUUAUCGGCAAAGGAUCGGCCCGCGUUGGAUUAGGUAGUUGGUGGGGUAAUGGCCUACCAAGCCGACGAUCCAUAGCUGGUUUGAGAGGAUGAUCAGCCACACUGGGACUGAGACACGGCCCAGACUCCUACGGGAGGCAGCAGUGGGGAAUCUUAGACAAUGGGCGCAAGCCUGAUCUAGCCAUGCCGCGUGAUCGAUGAAGGCCUUAGGGUUGUAAAGAUCUUUCAGUGGGAAGAUAAUGACUGUACCCACAGAAGAAGCCCCGGCUAACUCCGUGCCAGCAGCCGCGG
rnacentral:rRNA from 1 species